AUUGAACGCUGGCGGCAGGCCUAACACAUGCAAGUCGAACGCGUCGCGGACGGGAGUGAAAUGUCUGGGAAACUGCCUGAGGGAGGGGGAACAAUACUGGAAACGGUAGACAACAGCGCACAACAGCAGAUGUGCACAGAUGGGAUUAGCGAGUGGGUGGGGUAACGGCUCACCAAGGCGACGAUCCCUAGCUGGUCUGAGAGGCUGACCAGCCACACUGGAACUGAGACACGGUCCAGACUCCUACGGGAGGCAGCAGUGGGGAAUAUUGCACAAUGGGCGCAAGCCUGAUGCAGCCAUGCCGCGUGUGUGAAGAAGGCCUUCGGGUUGUAAAGUACUUUCAGCGGGGAGGCGUUACCCGCAGAAGAAGCACCGGCUAACUCCGUGCCAGCAGCCGCGGUAAUAC
rnacentral:rRNA from 1 species